rnacentral:rRNA from 1 species
UACGAAGGGUGCAAACGUUGCUCGGAAUCAUUGGGCGUAAAGCGCACGUAGGCGGCCUCGCAAGUCUGAUGUGAAAUCCCUCGGCUCAACCGAGGACGUGCAUCGGAAACUGCGGGGCUUGAGUACUGAAGAGGAGCGCGGAAUUCCCGGUGUAGAGGUGAAAUUCGUAGAUAUCGGGAGGAACACCAGUGGCGAAGGCGGCGAUCUGGGCAGAUACUGACGCUGAGGUGCGAAAGCGUGGGGAGCAAACAGG